rnacentral:lncRNA from 1 species
AAAUAACAGAGGAAUACCUAAGGUUUCAACUAUCUGCAUUGGAAGAUACCUCCCAUUCAAACCAUGUUAAUAUAAUUCCUGGAGCUGCUACAGCCAUGUUGUAAUCACAAGAGGACACCUUUCUCCAACGCCCUUACCCCUGCUGAUGGCUGAGAGGAAAAUCAUGAAUGCCUAUAGCAGUAAUAUGCAAGCUAGAUAUUGAAUUUCAGAGCUAUUACUCUUAGCUCUCCCAAAGCUAUCAUAAAAUGGGAAUAUAUAAUUCUACAAAAAUUAAUAAGAGCUAAUAAUUUGUCCUCCAAAGCUAUUUUUAUUCAUUAAUAUUUAGUAAAAAAUUAUUAAUUAAGCAUAAACCUAAAAUAUAAUAGCUAGUCUCAAAGACCCUCAGGUCUGGUAGAAUGUGUAUCUUCACGAAAUUCAACAGCUAAGAAACCAAGGAUAUUGACAACCAAAUGAAGACUGCAUGUUUAAAUAUAUUUUUCUCUAAAGAUAGUAAAGAUCUACUAUUUACAUUCAUUUUAUUCAUUUCUCUGUCUUCCAUGCUGGUUUCUGAAAUUUUGUGGUCAGAAUUCUGUUUUAUUACUCUUUGUACUCAUAGAAACUCCCAAUACCUGGCACACAGUAGACAUCAAUAAAUGUAUGCUGAAUGAGGACUGAAUACAAUUCCUAGACAUGAAUUAGGAAAAAAAAUGCAAAAUACAGCUACUACACUUAUUUCAACAUUUUAAUUGGAGACAAAAAUCAAUUAUUUCCAUUUAUUAUCAAGAGCUUAUGGAAUCUGGAUAAAGUAUAAACUAUAUUACUUCUGAAUGUUUGAAAAAGCCAUGUUAGGUCGGGUAUGGUGGCUCACACCUGUAAUCCC